rnacentral:rRNA from 1 species
GGUGUAGGCGGUUUGUUAAGUCAGAUGUGAAAGCCCACGGCUCAACCGUGGAAGUGCAUCUGAAACUGGCAGACUUGAGUACCGGAGAGGGAAGUGGAAUUCCUGGUGUAGGGGUGAAAUCCGUAGAUAUCAGGAGGAACACCGGUGGCGAAGGCGACUUCCUGGACGGAUACUGACGCUGAGAUCCGAAAGCGUGGGGAGCAAACAGGAUUAGAUACCCUGGUAGUCC